ACUUUUUACGCCGCGAGAAAGUAGAAAAAUGCGUUUUUCUUGUAAGAUAUUGAUCUGAGAACAUUGAAACCACUGCGAAUCGUUUGUAAAUUAAUUACCGAUUCUGUAAAUAUUGCCUUUAUUGCGUUAUUCGCUAUAGAUACUGAUUAAUAAAUUAAUUAUUUUUUCGUCAACUAUGCUACACCAAUUCGGGCGGUUCGUGUACCAUAUUCCGUUCGAUGAUUCGAAUCAGCUGUUCCUAUAUCGUUACGCACGUGUACUGCAGUGACUAUAUAAUAUACGACAACAACAAUAAGUCGGUUUGUGCAAGUGCAUCGCGGAUUCAGAAGUGUGUACAGUGCAGCGAUGGUCUCCUGGUGCAACGGCCUCUUCAGGGAGUAUUGGCUUUCAAUCUUAUUCUAACUUUAAUAAGUCCAGAAGUAGUGAAAGUGUAAAUUACUAGUAAUCUUCAAUAACACCAAUCAGUCUACAUGCCAUUAGAUCAUACUUGGAUAGAAGAGCUUACCGUUGUAGCUACUACUGUUAUAACUACAGGUAUGUCCUAUCGUACAAAACAUUUUGAACCUUCAAUGGCUAACUUAUAACAAAUAUUAGGUGCUUCAAAACAUUGUAAUCAGGGUGACCAGACCUGUCGUCACUUACUAUCAUUAUAUUACAAAAAAUAUUAAUUGAGAUUACAUAAUAAUUUCUUUGUUGAUUUUUGAAAUAUCUGAAAUCGUAAACAUCUCACCACAUUACUAAAUAAUCACAUAAAUAACAUUUGGCCAGGUCUGGUCACCUGGCUCAUUGAAAUAUCUUGUGCAACAUACUAAUUCAUUUAUUUUUCAUCGAACGAGCAAACUGUUCCUGCAUAAGUUCCUGCAUCACUGAUGUCUCACCGGUAUCCACUCUUAUUUGUGCUGCUGCGCGUAUUCACUGGAGUGAAGUCUUCAAUACUUAUUGAAUUA